rnacentral:tRNA from 1 species
ACUUUCUUAGUAUAAUCAGUACAUCUGACUUCCAAUCAGUUAGUUCUAGUAGUACUCUAGAAGAAAGUA